CUUAAACAGGCUCUGUGAUCAGCACGGAGCCCAAUGAGUCUUUGCCCAAGUCUCACUGCCUUCUCAGUCUUCUUUGUGAAUGACAAUAGCUGGAAGCAAAGGGGGAGAUGGUCUUUACCAUCUGAUAAAAAGAAAACUACAUCAAAUGAUGUGCACAGCCUAAGAGAACCUGGGAGUCAUCAAGGGCAAACUACCGGCUUUACAGAUGAGAAACUGAAAGCCAGAAAAUUCCAAUUCCUUCUGGAAAGUCUUCCAACAGAUCAGAGAAUACAACCUCGCACUUCUAAUUGCCAGUUCAGGGCUGUUUGCAGAAUGCCCCGCACAGUCUACUGAGUGAACUGUGUCAGGAAGAAACAAGAUCAAUCUAAUGCAUUUGCAAAGGAGAUUUCAAUUUCCAAGACGGUAUUUUCGUCCAUACUAAUGAAACUUGAAAGGGGAAAACAUGGUCUCUUUAAAAAUGAAAAAAGAAAUAGCAGGUCUCUUCAGUCAUAAUGUUGUGGAACUUAAUGAUUUCUUGAAAUAUGCUGUAGGUGGAGAACCUGGAGGGACCCAGAAGUAAAGUAAGCUACAGCCACGUUGGCACACUAAUUACCAAGCCAGUUGACACAGAGCCUUAGGUAUUGCUAUUGUCAUAGCAGAUAAAACACAUCCUUUUGGCUUGUGAA